GCUUCUAGUAGGCCAAACUCCCAGGUGACCCCCGCAAGAAACGCGGUCCGGAGAGGGUCUGGCCCCACUGCUGGGGCAAGGGCUCUAGGCGCCCGGACCCCACGCCCGCAGCCUGCGGAGAACGUGCCGACAAGGACCUGUAGGGCCCCACUCCCCCUCCUCCCUCCCUCGGCGCAGCCCGGCCCAGGGGUCUGUCCUCCCAGGCCCAGGAAAGGAGGAAACCCACUUCCGCCGCGUCCAUGAUCUCCCGCGGCUUCUCCUGACUCUUGCGGCUGGCGCUGGCGCUGGGCAUCGGGACACGGAACUGGGCAGUGGACACCACCCUCCCUCGCAGGCUUCCGCCUUUCAACUCCGCUCGGCUGUAACCGCAGACUCGUCACUAAAACACCCACCUAAGCGCGGGCCUUGGUUUCUCCUCUCUUGGACUUUCCCGCCUUCUCUCUUCCCCUGGGCGACGUAGCUGCUUGGGGACGGAGGAGGCCUCUUCGCAAUCCAUUGCCCUGCUUGUUGGGACAGAGGAGUGCAGUUGGCUUGCCAAGGCAGCAUGGGUUACCAGUCCCUGUGUAAGUGAGGUGUAAAUACAGUGGCAACGACAACAAGAAGUAAUUUGAAGGCCUUCCCUGACUUAAAGUGGAUGCUGCUUUGGAAAGCACUGGAAAAAUGGAUCCUGUCUUUCUUAGCCAAGGACUGGUCUCUUUUCUCCAAUGUGUCCCUAACAGAGUGGUGAGGCUGGCUCUUCCCACCAGUACAGGUAAUGUGGUAAAGAUAGGACCACGUGGACGAAGAGGUAUUACCUUCUCUAAUUACAGCUAACAAAGACCUAGGCCUAACCUCAACUGCACCUUCUGUCUCUGGGAAGUCACUUAUAGAGUAGACCUAUAAUUAGGAUUUGGUACCGGAAACAUAAUUCUCAGGAUGGUGAAUCUCUAAAUUAUGUCCCCAGAGACAUACCUGAGACAAAACCCUAAGGGCUGUUGGCCGUAAGAGGGUGUGUGUGGUAUUCUACAUUCAGUAGGGAUUUAUAAAUGAGGAUGAUAUCACUCAGCAGAAUUUUCAAUUCACAAAUCAUCUGAAAAACAGGAAAUUUUGGAGAAACAUGCUUAUGAUAACAAACAAGGGAUCUAUCGUGUGGUAUAGAAGUUUACACAAAGAGGCAUCUGAUUUUAAGUUUUUGUUUUUUUUUUUUUUUUUUUUUUUACCGUUCUGGGCUUCUGGCUGCAUUCUAGGAAGAUCAUUCCUUAAAAGAAAUAGCCAUAUGGCUUAUAAGGGACUAUAUCUUAAGACUAUGUGUCUUCUGCAGUUCUUUGCAUAGAGUCAACGUUGAAGGACAAGCAACUUCAAAUUUCCAAGCAACAAAAUUAUGUUCGGGUGGUUUUCUGAAAGCGAGAUCUUAAGAACCACCUGUAUCAGAAUCCCAUGAAGAGCUUGUUUAGUGUGCAAAUUUACAGAUUGUCCCCCCUCAGAAAUGCUCAUUUAGGAGUUCCUGUCCUUUGCGGGGACAUGGAUGAAGCUGGAAACCAUCAUUCUCAGCAAACUAACACAGGAACAGAAAACCAAACACUGCAUGUUCUCACUCAAAAGUGGGAGUUGAACAAUGAGAACACAUGGACACAGGUGCUAAAAGGAUAAUACCAAGGAAAACUAUGGGUGGGGGCAGUGAAUGGCCAGCAUGCCUAUAAUCCCAGCACUUGAAGCCAGGAGUUCGAGACCAGCCUGGGAAACAAAGCAAGACCCUGUGUCUAAAAAAAUUUUUUUAAAAAUAAGCUGGGCAUGGUGGCACGUGCCUAUAGUCCCAGCUACUCAGCUACUCGGGAGACCAAGGUUUCCUUAAUCUCUGAGGUCUCACCUCUUCAAGACCCAAUUGUGUAAGCCACCUUACAUAAUGUUAUUAUGAUGUCCCCCUUCCUCAUCCAGCCAGAAGGAUUUACUUCCUUCUCUGUAUGCUCAUAGCAAUUUGUUCAUUUUCUAUUCUUCUCACCCUUGUCCUGUGUUAGAGUUACCGAAAUAUAUGUAUAUGUGUGUGUAUAUAUUUUUUGUCUUGUUUUGUUCCUGUUAGAUUUUGAACAACUUGAGGGCAGGGGCCAAUCUUGUUCAGAUUUAUACCCCCCAGAGUUAUAAAGCAUGCUGUGAAAAUGAUUGUUGACUGAAUAAGCGAGUGAGUGAAUGCAAAAGUACACUUGGAGCCAAAUGCUUAUAUUCUCUGCAGACAUGGAAUAAACUUGACAAGUGCUAAAGAUGCUCUUUGAUUUUUGUGUGGCAUGAGACCUCAGGCUGAAACUUCUCAUCUGAGCCAUUGAAGGGAGCCUCUCAUCUCUCCACCGAGAGGGGAGACCAGAAUGGUCUGUUUCUGGCAGGAAUCUGACACCACUUACUCCUUGGGUAGAAACUCCCCCAAGUCUGAACUAUGUGAUU
rnacentral:lncRNA from 10 species